AUUGAACGCUGGCGGCAGGCCUAACACAUGCAAGUCGAGCGGAUGAAGGGAGCUUGCUCCUGGAUUCAGCGGCGGACGGGUGAGUAAUGCCUAGGAAUCUGCCUGGUAGUGGGGGAUAACGUCCGGAAACGGGCGCUAAUACCGCAUACGUCCUGAGGGAGAAAGUGGGGGAUCUUCGGACCUCACGCUAUCAGAUGAGCCUAGGUCGGAUUAGCUAGUUGGUGGGGUAAAGGCCUACCAAGGCGACGAUCCGUAACUGGUCUGAGAGGAUGAUCAGUCACACUGGAACUGAGACACGGUCCAGACUCCUACGGGAGGCAGCAGUGGGGAAUAUUGGACAAUGGGCGAAAGCCUGAUCCAGCCAUGCCGCGUGUGUGAAGAAGGUCUUCGGAUUGUAAGGCACUUUAAGUUGGGAGGAAGGGCAGUAAGUUAAUACCUUCUGUUUUGACGUUACCAACAGAAUAAGCACCGGCUAACUUCGUG
rnacentral:rRNA from 1 species